CCUACGGGGGGCAGCAGUGGGGAAUAUUGGACAAUGGGCGAAAGCCUGAUCCAGCCAUGCCGCGUGUGUGAAGAAGGCCUUCGGGUUGUAAAGCACUUUCAGUGGGGAAGAAAGCCUUGGGGCUAAUACCCUCGAGGAAGGACAUCACCCACAGAAGAAGCACCGGCUAACUCCGUGCCAGCAGCCGCGGUAAUACGGAGGGUGCGAGCGUUAAUCGGAAUUACUGGGCGUAAAGCGCGCGUAGGCGGUCUGAUAAGCCGGUUGUGAAAGCCCCGGGCUCAACCUGGGAACGGCAUCCGGAACUGUCAGGCUAGAGUGCAGGAGAGGAAGGUAGAAUUCCCGGCGUAGCGGUGAAAUGCGUAGAGAUCGGGAGGAAUACCAGUGGCGAAGGCGGCCUUCUGGACUGACACUGACGCUGAGGUGCGAAAGCGUGGGUAGCAAACAGGAUUAGAUACCCGUGUAGUC
rnacentral:rRNA from 1 species